CUAGUAACGGCGAGUGAAGCGGCAACAGCUCAAAUUUGAAAUCUGGCGUCUUUGGCGUCCGAGUUGUAAUUUGCAGAGGGCGCUUUGGCAUUGGCAGCGGUCCAAGUUCCUUGGAACAGGACGUCACAGAGGGUGAGAAUCCCGUACGUGGUCGCUAGCCUUUACCGUGUAAAGCCCCUUCGACGAGUCGAGUUGUUUGGGAAUGCAGCUCUAAAUGGGAGGUAAAUUUCUUCUAAAGCUAAAUACUGGCCAGAGACCGAUAGCGCACAAGUAGAGUGAUCGAAAGAUGAAAAGCACUUUGGAAAGAGAGUUAAAAAGCACGUGAAAUUGUUGAAAGGGAAGCGCUUGCAGCCAGACUUGCCUGUAGUUGCUCAUCCGGGUUUUUACCCGGUGCACUCUUCUACGGGCAGGCCAGCAUCAGUUUGGGCGGUUGGAUAAAGGUCUCUGUCAUGUACCUCCUCUCGGGGAGAACUUAUAGGGGAGACGACAUGCAACCAGCCCGGACUGAGGUCCGCGCAUCUGCUAGGAUGCUGGCGUAAUGGCUGUAAGCGGCCCGUCUUGAAACACGGACCAAGGAGUCUAACAUCUAUGCGAGUGUUUGGGUGUCAAGCCCGAGCGCGUAAUGAAAGUGAACGGAGGUGGGAACCUUUCGGGGUGCACCAUCGACCGAUCCUGAUGUCUUCGGAUGGAUUUGAGUAAGAGCAUAGCUGUUGGGACCCGAAAGAUGGUGAACUAUGCUUGAAUAGGGUGAAGCCAGAGGAAACUCUGGUGGAGGCUCGCAGCGGUUCUGACGUGCAAAUCGAUCGUCAAAUUUGGGCAUAGGGGCGAAAGACUAAUCGAACUAUCUAGUAGCUGGUUCCUGCCGAAGUUUCCCUCAGGAUAGCAGUAACGUUUUCAGUUUUAUGAGGUAAAGCGAAUGAUUAGAGGACUGGGGGAUGAAACAUCCUU
rnacentral:rRNA from 1 species